rnacentral:rRNA from 1 species
GACGAACGCUGGCGGCGUGCCUAAUACAUGCAAGUCGAGCGAGGCUCUUCGGAGUCUAGCGGCGGACGGGUGAGUAACACGUGGGCAACCUGCCUGUAAGACUGGGAUAACACCGGGAAACCGGUGCUAAUACCGGAUAAUCCCUUUCCUCUCAUGAGGAAAAGCUGAAAGUCGGUUUCGGCUGACACUUACAGAUGGGCCCGCGGCGCAUUAGCUAGUUGGUGAGGUAACGGCUCACCAAGGCGACGAUGCGUAGCCGACCUGAGAGGGUGAUCGGCCACACUGGGACUGAGACACGGCCCAGACUCCUACGGGAGGCAGCAGUAGGGAAUCUUCCACAAUGGACGAAAGUCUGAUGGAGCAACGCCGCGUGAGCGAUGAAGGCCUUCGGGUCGUAAAGCUCUGUUGUUAGGGAAGAACAAGUACCGGAGUAACUGCCGGUACCUUGACGGUACCUAACCAGAAAGCCACGGCUUACUACGUGCCAGCCGCCGCAGUAAAAC